UACGGAGGGUGCAAGCGUUAUCCGGAUUCACUGGGUUAAAGCGUGUGUAGGCGGACUUCUAAGUGCCUUGUGAAAUCCCACGGCUCACCCGUGGAACUGCUGGGCAUACUGCUUUCUUGAGCCACUUAGGGCUGUCGGAACAAACGAUGGAGCGGUGAAAUGCGUAGAUAUCGUUUGGAACGCCAACGGUGAAAACAGACAGCUGGGAGUGUGCUGACGCUGAGACACGAAAGCCAGGGGAGCAAACGGG
rnacentral:rRNA from 1 species